rnacentral:rRNA from 1 species
GUGUAUGCUUUUCCUAAAGACUAAGGGAUGCAUGCCUCCGAAUAGAAGAGCAUUCUCUCUGAAUCUGCGAACGGCUCCGCAAACCAGUUGUAAACCAUAGCGAGCAUGUCCCUGGGCGGACCGCAAGGCGAGCCCAGGGGCGAUAAGGAUAACCCUGGUAAUUCUGAGGCUAAUACAAGAACGUAAAACCUGGCUGACCGGCAACGGAAGGCUGGGGGACGUGCGACAUAUGCAAAAGAUAACUGGGAAUGGGUGCACGUUCAGACCGCCAUCCAAACGGUAGCGCUGGUUCGCCAGUGCGUCCGGGCGGCUCUCGCGUUGUGCUUCUGACCUAUCAACUAGAUGGCAGCGUAAGGGACAUGCUAUGGUGACAACGGGUACAGAGGAUAAGGGUUCGAUCCUGGAGAGUGGGCCUGAGAGAUUGCUCACACUUCUAAGGAAGGCAGCAGGCGCGCAACGUUCCCCUUGGGCAAUGCUCGAGGGCGUUAGGGGACAUAUGAAUGCCUGCCAAUAGGUGGGCAAUUCAAAUGGGUCUGUUCUAAACAGCCUCUCGAGUAACAAUUAGAGGACAAGUCUGGUGCCAGCACCCGCGGUAAUUCCAGCUCUAAUAGCAUACGUUAAAGUUGUUGCGGUUAAAACGCUCGUAGUCGGCUUCAGAUCUUCAGAAACCUGAUUCGUGAAGUGGGUCCGCUGCCCCGGUCAAGGGCACGCCAUGGAGCGUCGAUGGUGGACGUUGGUCAAAUGCGCUCUGGGCUGUCCUUCGGGUCACAGGGUUGGUGGGUAACUGCCAGCUCGGUCUUGGGUGCCAAUUACCAUGAUUAAACCGGAGUGAUCGAGGCAGGUCUUUUGACACACACGGCACAGCAUGGUAUAAAUCCUCACCGGCAAGCUGUAUUUGCAGCGGCUUAGCUGGUAGGAGCGAAAGGGGUGUUCGAGGGUGACCGAAUUGCUGGGCGAGUGGUGAAAUACGUUGACCCUAGCAAGUCGACCAAAGGCGAAAGCAGCCAUCAAGGGCACGCCCGUUGAUCAAGAGCGAAAGUUAAGGGUUCGAAGACGAUCAGAUACCGUCGUAGUCUUAACUAUAAAUGAUGCAAACCAGGGAUAGGACACUGUCCAUCUCGACUCCUCCCGAACCUUGGAGAAAUCAGAGUCUUUGGGUUCUGGGGGGAGUAUGGUCGCAAGGCUGAAACUUAAAGGAAUUGAC